UACGUAGGGUGCGAGCGUUGUCCGGAAUUACUGGGCGUAAAGAGCUCGUAGGUGGUUUGUCGCGUUGUUCGUGAAAACCGGGGGCUUAACCCUCGGCGUGCGGGCGAUACGGGCAGACUGGAGUACUGCAGGGGAGACUGGAAUUCCUGGUGUAGCGGUGAAAUGCGCAGAUAUCAGGAGGAACACCGGUGGCGAAGGCGGGUCUCUGGGCCGUAACUGACGCUGGAGGAGCGAAAGCAUGGGGAGCGAACAGG
rnacentral:rRNA from 1 species